rnacentral:sRNA from 1 species
AUAAAACAAAAAUAACUAACCCUCAAUCUCAGCAAUUCUCCAAAACCUCCCAAUGGCAACAAUGAGCUGAUAGUU